CUGCAACCUCCGCCUACCGGCUUCAAGCAAUUCUCCUGCAAUUCUCCUGUCUCUGCCUCCCGAGUAGCUGGAAUUACAGGCACGCACCACUGUGCCCAGCUAAUUUUUGUAUUUUUAGUAGAGACGGGGUUUCACGAUAUUGGCCAGGCUGGUCUUGAACUCCUGACCUCAAGUGAUCCAGCUGCCUCGGCCUCCCAAGGUGCUGGGAUUACAGGCGUGAGCCACCGCACCCGGCUGACUAGCUGCAGAUUUCUAAGUCAAUACUUGAAGUGAGGAUGGUGUUCUUCAUUAAGUUAUCAAAUACUGGAGAAAAAAUCAAUUUAGUAAAGCACCUGUGAUGCCCUGUGACUACAGAGUUCCAGUAGAACUAUAAUCUGUGGAAGUUCAAGAAGACUUAAAGCAGGUACAAAGGUGCGUGGGCCCCAUCCAAUCAGAUCAAGGCCUAAGGAGAGCAAAAAAGCUGAUUCUCCACCAUGCAAGAGAGAAUUCCUCCUGCCUGUUGCCUUUGUACUGGUUCUUCAGCUUUUUUCUACCUUUUGAAUUGAACUGAAACAUCAGCUGUCCUUGGAGGUUGAGUCAACCAGCUUUUGAACUGGAACUACAUCAUUGGCUGUUUUCAUUUUUAAGAUUUGAACUCAGACUGGAACUAUACCAUCAUCUCUCUUGGAUUUCAAGCUUACAAAUUCACCCUGCAGCUCUUGGAACUUGCCAGCUUCCCUA
rnacentral:lncRNA from 1 species